AGAGGAAAUCUGGCGAAUAGAGCAAUUCCAAGGGGUGAUGGCUUUGACUGCGUAGCUCUGCCCGUGAACAGCAGUCACAGGGUGCAGAUCAGAAUCCCGGACUGAAGGUCAGGACCUGUGUGAAGCCAGAGUUUGAAGGAUCAUCAGCACGACGUGACGGAGUGGUUAUGGUUCAGGACAUCCUCUGAUAUCCAUAUGCUUUGCACUUUGGUGGGUUAGCUCUAAAUCAGAUUCUUGCCUGACAUCCUCUUAAAAUACAGCGUACCUUAUUUUUCAGCCAGACUCUUGAAAUGUGCUGCAAAAGUAUUGAUUUACUGGCCUGCUCGUUAGUAACCACGGCUGGAAAUGGCAAAAGAUGUCACUAUGAAAUGGGAUGCAUGAGGAAAACGGAGAUAAAGGAGUGGAAAAUGGUCCUCCGCCCUCAGUUCUGUAUUCAGUUGUUUAGACGUUGGAGACAGCUAUCCCUGAAACCCAGCGUUUUUAAUUAAGCAACCAGAAAGUGCAUGUUACAUUUCCAGAGAGGAGUUAGGCUUCUCUUAAUAUCGCCAACUUUAUUUUUGUGAGCUCUUUCAGGGCCGUAAUGAGCAUCCUGUUUCCUUACGCAUUUAAGUGUAGGUUCUUGUGAACUGACAGGAUAGAAGCUCUUAAGAACUGAGUAGGCCGAUAGAGCAGCUGGUGUGACACUCCAGUGUUCGUAUUGCCUUCUAGCUCCUGAACAGAAGGAAGAAAACAGUUUUAAUUUAGAAAUCUCUUUCUUGACUAUAGCUGAAAUUCUCAGAGCCAGUGAGACUAGAAAAUGAUAGAACAUUCAUUUCUCCUAGUUAACUGAAGGUAGAAUAUGUUCUUAGGUUUGUUGGUAAGAUGCCCUGGGUUAUAUAAAAUUGCUUAUUUCUGAGCUUUUCACAGGCCUUUCUUUUACCAGAAAACAAUUACUGUUAGGAUGAAAGUUCUAAAAACACCUAAAUAGAACAAUGGAGAAAACAAAGAAUACUUUGUUUGGAGGGAGAGCAGGAGAAGGUAGAUUCUGAAUGUGUUAAAAUGUAAUGUGUUUGGAUGUUUAAAAUCAUUUUACGUCUGUUCAAAAUGAAGAUGGCUUCCCGCUUCUUGGAAUGAAGUGUUUGCAGUAUUUGUACAGUAUGUUAAUAUCCGUGGUAUUAAAAGUCAAAACAAAAUUAAGAAUAGCAUAAUAGGAGUUUCUGUCGUGGCGCAGUGGAAACAAUCCGACUAGGAGCCAUGAGGUUGCCAGUUCGAUCCCUGGCCUCUCUCAGUGGGUUAAAGAUUCGGCGUUGCCGUGAGCUGUGGCGUAGGUUGCAGACACGGCUCAGAUCCUGUGUGGCUGUGGCGUAGGCCAGCGGCUACAGCUCCGAUUAGACCUCUGGCCUGAGAACCUCCAUAUACCACAGGUGCGGCCCUAAAAAGACAAAAAAUAAAAGCAUAGCAUAAUAGAGAACCAUGAUGUUGUUUCUCCAGACUAGCAGCAUUCGGUGUCACCAUCGCUUGAGAGGUUCCCAGAAGGUGUAAAUUCUUGUCCCCUACCCCAGAUCUACUGCGUUGAAUCCUGGGGUGUGAGGGGGAGAUCAGAGAUUGCCAGCCGUCUGUGUUUUAAGGAACCCUGUAGGUGAUUCAGAUGCAUGCAUGCUGAAGUUGGAGAACCACUGGUUUGUAGUUAGGACAACCUUUCCAAAAAAAUGCUGGCAUGAGCAAUGUUGAGGACAAGAUGAUUCCAACUGGCUUGACCGUAAAACAGGAAUGUCUGUAGUGAAUCAACGUAGCUGUGUUUGGGAUCAGUUACGUUAACAUGUUAUCAUGCGCUCCACUUAAUUAAGUACUUUGUUGGCAUGAGCAAGUCAUCUGCGCUGGAAAUGACAGCUAUCAAAAGAGUAAUUGUCUUAAAGCCCCGGGGAGGGGGAUGAAUCACCAGUUUACAGAACCUGUUCUGCUUUGGGCUGACAUAUUUUUUUUAUCAACUAAAGGCUAUGGGGAACAGGAGCUGUGUUUGGGGCUAAGGUAAGGAAACCGGGUGGUUUUAUUCACACUUAGACUGAGCCGGCCUGCUGUCGUGUCGUUUCAACAUUUUAAUUGAAUAGUGAAAUUCUGAAAUAGAGAAAUAGGAAAAAACGAACCUUGUAAAUGCACAAACAGGCAAAUUGUAAAUUUUUACUAUUAUCUAUAAACUGAUCUUAUGGUCUCUAACCAGAAACAGAUGGACACAGUGACGGUCGGGAUGCCAGUGCCGCUCGGUCCUUCCCCACUGAUUCCUUUGAAUAAUUACUCAAGAAGAGGGACAAGCGGUGAAAAAGGAAAACGCAGCACUGUGGUGGGAAGCAGAGUCAAGCAUCAGGGAGAUGAAGGCAGCAGAACGUUUCCAGAGGGAGGCCGUGGUGAACAGUAGGAAAGGUUGCCAGUAGGUCAGAUAAGAGGGACGCAAUGUGUCCAUUAGGUGUAGGGACAAGAGAGGUGAGUGGUCACCUUGAAGAGGAAUUUCAGUGCAGCAGAAAGCAGCAGCUGGGUGGACGUGGGGUGGUCCCUGAGCUGGAGAUAAAACGGAAGUGGCGCGUUGAAGAGGAGGAUAGCUAGAUGCGGACGGAGGGUCUUCUUGCCCGACAGCCUUCUCUGGGUAAGACUUGUUGUUUAGAUCUGGUUACUAACCUGAUCACUAUAUUGAUUUGGCAUAAUUUUCACUUAGCAUGAGUCAUCCUAACGUUAUUUCUCAGAUGAAUGUAUCAUUUCUUGCUGCCUUUAUGAAGUAUUGAAACUUGGCGUUACUACUUUUCAUAGCCUCGAGGAUCAAGGACCCGGUUAAAAACCACCACCAUGUCGCUGUCCCCAUAGAACUCAUUUGGAAUUAUCAUUUAAAUUCCAUUGUCUUAAAGCACUGAAAGGCAGGUUUGUAUAUUUGCAUGCCAAGGUGGUUAAAAAACUCCUUGAAUGUCUCUCAAGCUCAACACCUGGCAUAUUAUUUUAAACAUAGGGUUAGGAGGUUCGGUUCUGCUUUGCUGUUUGAAUUGGCAUUGGUUACUAAUAGAAAACCUGUUUUCACAUUGAUUUUUAGGGAAGAUUCAAACAGGAGUGUUUUCAUUGAAUAAACAUUGAGCACCUACCGUAUUCCUGGCAGUGCUAGGGGUUAAAAAUAAAAAUGGCACAAAUCCUGCCUUGAGUUCACCGUUCAUUGGGGAACACAGAAGUAAACAAACCGCGGCGAUGUUAAAAGCUGCACCGGAAGAACACAUUAGGAGGUCCUGCUGUGGCUCAGUGGGUGCAAAACCCGACUGGUAUCCGUGAGGAGGCGGGUUCUAUUCCUGGCCUCGCUCGGUGGGUUAAGGAUUUGGUGUUGCUGCAAGCUGCGGUGUGGGUCACCGAUGUGGCUUGGAUUUGGCGUGGCUGUGGCUGUGGUGUAGGCUGGCAGCAGCGGCAGCUCGGAUUUGGCCCCUAGCCUGGGAACUUCCAUAUGCCACAGG
rnacentral:lncRNA from 1 species